rnacentral:rRNA from 1 species
UACAGAGGUCCCGAGCGUUGUUCGGAUUCACUGGGCGUAAAGGGUGCGCAGGUGGGUUGGCAAGUUCGAUGUGAAAGCCCCCGGGCUUAACCCGGGAAAGGCAUUGGAUACUGCCGAUCUGGAGGAUUGGAGGGGGGACUGGAAUUCUUGGUGUAGCAGUGAAAUGCGUAGAUAUCAAGAGGAACACCAGUGGCGAAGGCGAGUCCCUGGACAAUACCUGACACUGAGGCACGAAAGCCAAGGGAGCAAACAGG